rnacentral:rRNA from 1 species
CAGCCGCCACGGUAAUACGUAGGUGGCAAGCGUUGUCCGGAAUUAUUGGGCGUAAAGGGCUCGCAGGCGGUUUCUUAAGUCUGAUGUGAAAGCCCCCGGCUAAACCGGGGAGGGUCAUUCGAAACUGGGAAACUUGAGUGCAGAAGAGGAGAGUGGAAUUCCACGUGUAGCGGUGAAAUGCGUAGAGAUGUGGAGGAACACCAGUGGCGAAGGCGACUCUCUGGUCUGUAACUGACGCUGAGGAGCGAAAGCGUGGGGAGCGAACAGGAUUAGAGACCCCGGUAGUCCCUGUCUCUUAUAC